CUUUGCAGUAGUUGGAGAGCUGCUCCUCCGGCAUUGCAAAAGGAGCUACGAGAGCGGCGCGACCGCAGCAACGCCGGUUAUUAUAAAACAAAAGACGAUGCUUGAUGCCGAUAAUAAAGAAGAGAGAUCGAGGAAUGGACGGCCCGGGGGAGGCACGGUGUUCGCCGCGUGCUACGAUUUGACGUCGAGACAACACGUUUCUCCAUUUUGCUAUGUUUGGGAGGAACGGACGUGAACAGAGCGGAGCCUGA
rnacentral:misc_RNA from 1 species